rnacentral:rRNA from 1 species
UGGGGAAUUUUGGACAAUGGGCGAAAGCCUGAUCCAGCAAUGCCGCGUGCAGGAUGAAGGCCUUCGGGUUGUAAACUGCUUUUGUACGGAACGAAAAAGCUUCUCCUAAUACGAGAGGCCCAUGACGGUACCGUAAGAAUAAGCACCGGCUAACUACGUGCCAGCAGCCGCGGUAAUACGUAGGGUGCGAGCGUUAAUCGGAAGUACUGGGCGUAAAGCGUGCGCAGGCGGUUAUGUAAGACAGAUGUGAAAUCCCCGGGCUCAACCUGGGAACUGCAUUUGUGACUGCAUGGCUAGAGUACGGUAGAGGGGGAUGGAAUUCCGCGUGUAGCAGUGAAAUGCGUAGAUAUGCGGAGGAACACCGAUGGCGAAGGCAAUCCCCUGGACCUGUACUGACGCUCAUGCACGAAAGCGUGGGGAGCAAACA